GAGACCAUUCAUUUUAGGGUUUAUUUUUCAUCAUUCAUUUCUCCUUCAGUCUUCUCCAUUUCUCGAAUAAUUCCUAUCCCGCUUCUUGUCUUCCUCAUUGAGCAGAGCCUCACGAGUCACGACCUCUUGCUUCAAGCCCAUCUGUUAUCAAUCGAUUCAAUCCCUCACUCUCACUCUCACACUCACAGGCCAGCCUCAACCAUCUCUCUCACUCUCUGUUGUCGAACUCGAUCCCCUUUCACUCUCACAAGCCACAACCUCAGCCCUCACUCUCACUCUCUAGUCUCUGUUGUCGAACUCGAUCCUCGUCGCAAGUCUGUUGACGAUUUCGAUUUAUGAUUUCUGGGUGAAGAUUGUGGCCUUUUGGGUGUCGAUUGUUGACCUAACAAGCCCGAUCUCUGUCGCAGCCCGCAAGUCUGCAACUUCGUGGCCUCCAUUUUUAGAUGAUGGCGGUGGAGUUGCAUUGAAAGCUCCUAAGCAGUUGAGCAGGUACAGAAGGGCUAGGGCUAGGGAAGUAUAUCAAGUUUGCAACCCCAGAAAAUGAGUUCAUGAUCUGAAUUCUGAAGUAGUAAUGUAGUAUCUAAGUAUCAAUGUAACAUUGUCUAGUCAAGUUGUUCGUAGUACAUGAAAAUUUGAAGGCCAUGAAAUUGACUUUGUUAAUUUCUUUUGUGUAAUGGUCUUGUAUUUGUAUGAAAAAAUUGCUAGUAAUGUGUGGGACAUGGGAAGUGGAACUAUUGGAGACAUAUUUCAUUUCAAAAAGCAUAUUUUUCUUCUUA